rnacentral:rRNA from 1 species
AGAGUUUGAUCCUGGCUCAGAACGAACGCUGGCGGCGUGCCUAACACAUGCAAGUCGAACGAGAAACUCCGAGCUUGCUCGGAGGAGUAAAGUGGCGCACGGGUGAGUAACGCGUGGGUAACCCGCCCUUGAAUUUGGGAUAACCCCGUGAAAACGGGACUAAUACCGGAUAUCGUCCUGAGAACCUUGGUUCUCGGGAUGAAAGGUGACCUCUUCAUGAAAGUUGCCGUUCAGGGAAGGGCUCGCGUACCAUUAGCUUGUUGGUAGGGUAAUGGCCUACCAAGGCUACGAUGGUUAGCUGGUCUGAGAGGAUGAUCAGCCACACUGGAACUGAAACACGGUCCAGACUCCUACGGGAGGCAGCAGUGAGGAAUUUUGCGCAAUGGGGGAAACCCUGACGCAGCAACGCCGCGUGAGUGAAGAAGGCCUUCGGGUCGUAAAGCUCUGUCAAGUGGGAAAAAAUGUCCCGGGUAAAUAGCCCGGGAAACUGAUGGUACCACUGGAGGAAGCACCGGCUAACUCCGUGCCAGCAGCCGCGGUAAUACGGAGGGUGCAAGCGUUGUUCGGAAUUAUUGGGCGUAAAGAGCGUGUAGGCGGUUUGGCAAGUCAGAUGUGAAAGCCCUGGGCUUAACUCAGGAAGUGCAUUUGAAACUGCCAUACUUGAGUAUGGGAGAGGAGAGUGGAAUUCCCAGUGUAGAGGUGAAAUUCGUAGAUAUUGGGAGGAACACCCGUGGCGAAGGCGACUCUCUGGACCAAUACUGACGCUGAGACGCGAAAGCGUGGGGAGCAAACAGGAUUAGAUACCCUGGUAGUCCACGCUGUAAACGAUGAGAACUAGGUGUAGCGGGUAUUGACCCCUGCUGUGCCGAAGUUAACGCAUUAAGUUCUCCGCCUGGGGAGUACGGCCGCAAGGCUAAAACUCAAAGGAAUUGACGGGGGCCCGCACAAGCGGUGGAGCAUGUGGUUUAAUUCGACGCAACGCGAAGAACCUUACCUGGGUUUGACAUCCUCUGACCGUCUGGGAAACCAGAUUUAUCCGGUUCUGCCGGAACAGAGUGACAGGUGCUGCAUGGCUGUCGUCAGCUCGUGUCGUCAGAUGUUGGGUUAAGUCCCGCAACGAGCGCAACCCUUAUUUUUAGUUGCCAGUAUUAAGUUAGGCACUCUAAAGAGACUGCCUCGGUUAACGAGGAGGAAGGUGGGGAUGACGUCAAGUCCUCAUGGCCUUUAUACCCAGGGCUACACACGUGCUACAAUGGGCUGUACAAAGGGUCGCCAAUCCGCGAGGAUGCGCUAAUCCCAAAAAGCAGCUCUCAGUUCGGAUUGGAGUCUGCAACUCGACUCCAUGAAGGUGGAAUCGCUAGUAAUCGUGGAUCAGCAUGCCACGGUGAAUACGG